rnacentral:tRNA from 1 species
UUCCCUGUGGCUCAGUUGGUAGAGCAUGGUGUUUGCAACGCCAGGGUUGUGGGUUCGAUUCCCACGAGGGACC